AGAGUUUGAUCCUGGCUCAGGAUGAACGCUAGCGGCGCGCCUUAUGCAUGCAAGUCGUACGGUUUCUCGCAAGAGAGACAGUGGCAAACGGGUGAGUAAUAGUUAGGUAACCUGCCUUUAAGUGGGGGAUAACACUUCGAAAGAAGUGCUGAUACCGCAUGUGGUGCUCUUUCAUAAGAAGGAUCACUAAAACCGCAAGGUGCUUGAAGAGGGGCCUGACCCCGAUUAGCUAGUUGGUGAGGUAACGGCCCACCAAGGCUGGGAUCGGUAGCUGGUCUGAGAGGAUGGUCAGCCACACUGGGACUGAGACACGGCCCAGACUCCUACGGGAGGCAGCAGCAAGGAAUCUUGGGCAAUGGGCGAAAGCCUGACCCAGCGACGCCGCGUGAGGGAUGAAGGCCUUCGGGUUGUAAACCUCUUUUCUCAGGGAAGAAUAAUGACGGUACCUGAGGAAUAAGUCUCGGCUAACUACGUGCCAGCAGCCGCGGUAAUACGUAGGAGGCGAGCGUUAUCCGGAUUUAUUGGGCGUAAAGUGGGCGUAGGUGGUCUUUCAAGUCAGAUGUGAAAUCUCCCGGCUUAACUGGGAGGGGUCAUCUGAUACUGUUGGACUUGAGUACAGCAGGGGAAAAUGGAAUUCCCGGUGUAGUGGUGAAAUGCGUAGAUAUCGGGAGGAACACCAGAGGCGAAGGCGAUUUUCCAGGCUGAAACUGACACUGAGGCCCGAAAGCGUGGGGAGCGAACAGGAUUAGAUACCCUGGUAGUCCACGCCUUAAACUAUGGGUACUAGGUAUAGGGAGUAUCGACCCUCUCUGUGCCGAAGCUAACGCUUUAAGUACCCCGCCUGGGGAGUACGGUCGCAAGACUAAAACUCAAAGGAAUUGACGG
rnacentral:rRNA from 1 species